ensembl:lincRNA
UAGAUUCAUUAUUAUGUAACACUCUGUGCACUCGUUAAUGCAAGUGUGUGUUCUGUGAUUUAUAACAGGAUCUUCCUUGAACUGAAAGAUGCAGAACAUCUCUAAGGUGUGUGCGGACAUUCAGACUGAGUGUGGAUAUGAAUACAGAGUGAGGGAGGAUUUACUGGAGCUAAUACACAAUCCUGACUGUGAUCAGAGCUGGUUUACAAAGGACGGGCGUCUGCUAGCAGAUCCUUCAGAUCCUCAUAAACGGAUGCCUCCAGCUGUUUCUGUGAGGCCUGAACAGCUCUGCACUUCAUUCUGUGUGGAGGAAAUCCACCAUGAGAUUGACUGUCAUUACAGUAGAGUAAAUCAGCAUCUCUCUCUCUCUCUCCCUCUCCCUCUCUCUCUCCCUCUCUGUCUCUCUCUCUCUCUCUCAUCAUGUGUUGUGUUUCUGUGCUGUUUAACAAGCACUAGUGCUGAUGAUGGUGAAUGAUGCUCUGCUCUGUCCUUCAUUACAGCUCAAACACCAGACGCUGUUCAGAGUGUUUAAUGUCACAGAGCCCAUCAGCGGAUCCACUGCAGAAUCACGUGAGUCUGAAAUAUCUGAGCAAAUAUAAGUAAUAAACACAGAAUCCAGCAAAUAAUGUGUGCAUUAGUGCUUCAGCUGAUCAGAUUAUGGUGUAGGUCAGCUGCUUUUGUAUUUUACAGAUGAUUUGUGGUGGAUUUUAGCCCCUAUCUUAGUUUUUUUCUUCAUCAUCAUCCUCAUUGUCUGCCUCAUGUGGCGUAAAAAGAUCUCCAGGUGAGUCUCGAGUCUUGUAUUUGGGUGAAGAAAUGUAAAUAUGCAAGCUAAAUAGAGAGGCUGACAUUAUAGCUGAAGAUAUUAUUGAUGAUUUCACCGCUUUAUAAUACUGUGACAUGUUUGGUAGUCAUGAAUAAUGAUCAAAUCAGUAGCCUAAACAGUUAAAUCUCUCUCUAAAAUAACAUACUACUAUACAAUAUUAUUAUGGAAGUAUUUAAUAAUUGGACUGAUUUAUGUAUUUCAGCUGUAUUUCAAGAGCAGCACGCAGUGGUCCAGCAAACAGGUCAGUGAAUCAACCUGACAGAAAUAGUUAAACUGAAUCAGAACAGUGGUAAAGAUUCAUUUGACUCAGUGAAUCUUUUCUUUCAGGAAUCCUGAAUCUGGAGUCCAAAUGAAGCUUCUGUGACCUGAAUCUGAAUCUGAGCACAUCCAGAAGAUCAUCAGGGCGAUUCAGAGAUUCAGUAAUGUGACACAAAACCAGUCAUAAGGGUCAACGUUUUUGUUUAAAGUUGUUUUUAAAUUAAGCUAUUAGCAAGCCAACAUUUAAUAUUUUUACAAUAGUAAAUUUGGAAAAUGAUGAUCUUAACUUAAGAUUUGAAUGAUUUACUGCUCAUAAGAUGAUCUUUAUAAUCUCAAUAUGAUGUGUUUUGGCUUCUCCGACAAAUGUCUUUGCAGUGUAAGACUGGUUUUGUGCUUCUGUGGAUUUUCCACAUUUACUGCAGGAAUAAAUUUCCUAUCAUAAGGACCAUCUUGCUUAACAUUUUUAUUGUAUUAUGUUUUCCAUUUGCUUGCUGAACACCAUCAUUUGCUCCAGACUUGUGUAUUAAACACACGACUCGCUGAUGUGCACAGUGGCGCUUCUAGUUUAAAUGGGACCCUGAGUGAACCACCCCAUAUAGUCCUUUCUGCUUCACAGUCAUGCUUAGCCAAAAUAACCUCAUCAUCAUAUUAUAUAUAUAUAUAUAUAUAUAUAUAUAUAUAUAUAUAUAAAUCUCCCUUGGUAGGCGUCCAGGAGGCAUCUGAAACAGA